rnacentral:rRNA from 1 species
CCCUUAGAUGUUCUGGGCCGCACGCGCGCUAAACUGAUUCAUGCAACAAGUUUUGUCCUUGGCUGAUAGGCCUGGGUAAUCUUUGAACGUGAAUCGUGAUGGGGAUAGAUGAUUGCAAUUAUUCAUCUUCAACGAGGAAUUCCUAGUAAACGCAAGUCAUCAGCUUGCAUUGAUUACGUCCCUGCCCUUUGUACACACCGCCCGUCGCACCUACCGAUUGAAUGGUCCGGUGAAAUCUUCGGAUCUGAGAGAUGUCUGAUUAAUUUCGGACGCCUUUUGGAAAAGUUGCUUAAACCUUACCAUUUAGAGGAAGGUGAAGUCGUAACA